rnacentral:tRNA from 1 species
AAGAUUUUAAGUUAAAAAAACUCUUAGCCUUCAAAGUUAAAAAUAAUCUAUAAUUAAAUCUUA